rnacentral:rRNA from 1 species
CCUACGGGAGGCAGCAGUGGGGAAUUUUGCGCAAUGGGGGCAACCCUGACUCAGCAACGCCGCGUGAGUGAUGAAGGCCUUCGGGUCGUAAAGCUCUGUCAGAGGGGAAGAAAUGCAGGUGGUGAACAACCAUUCUGUUUGACGGUACCCUCAAAGGAAGCACCGGCUAACUCCGUGCCAGCAGCCGCGGUAAUACGGAGGGUGCGAGCGUUGUUCGGAAUUAUUGGGCGUAAAGCGCGUGUAGGCGGUUUGUUAAGGCUGAGGUGAAAGCCCCGGGCUCAACCUGGGAAGGGCAUUGGAUACUGGCAGACUUGAGUACGGGAGAGGGGAGUGGAAUUCCCAGUGUAGGAGUGAAAUCCGUAGAUAUUGGGAGGACACCCGGUGGCGAGGGCGGCUCUCGGAACCGAUACUGACGCUGAGACGCGAAAGCGUGGGGAGCAAACAGGAUUAGAUCCCCCUGUAGU